GGUUCAGGAUGAGCGCUGGCGGCGUGCCUAAUACAUGCAAGUCGAGCGAACAGAUAAGGAGCUUGCUCCUUGACGUUAGCGGCGGACGGGUGAGUAACACGUGGGUAACCUACCUAUAAGACUGGAAUAACUCCGGGAAACCGGGGCUAAUGCCGGAUAACAUUUAGAACCGCAUGGUUCUAAAGUGAAAGAUGGUUUUGCUAUCACUUAUAGAUGGACCCGCGCCGUAUUAGCUAGUUGGUAAGGUAACGGCUUACCAAGGCAACGAUACGUAGCCGACCUGAGAGGGUGAUCGGCCACACUGGAACUGAGACACGGUCCAGACUCCUACGGGAGGCAGCAGUAGGGAAUCUUCCGCAAUGGGCGAAAGCCUGACGGAGCAACGCCGCGUGAAGUGAUGAAGGUCUUCGGAUACGUAAAACUCUGUUAUUAGGGAAGAACAAAUGUGUAAGUAACUAUGCACGUCUUGACGGUACCUAAUCAGAAAGCCACGGCUAACUACGUGCCAGCCGCCGC
rnacentral:rRNA from 1 species